UACGUAGGGUGCGAGCGUUGUCCGGAAUUAUUGGGCGUAAAGGGCUCGUAGGCGGUUCGUCACGUCGGGAGUGAAAACUCGGGGCUUAACCCCGAGCCUGCUUCCGAUACGGGCAGACUAGAGGUAGGCAGGGGAGAGCGGAACUCCUGGUGUAGCGGUGGAAUGCGCAGAUAUCAGGAAGAACACCGGUGGCGAAGGCGGCUCUCUGGGCCUUACCUGUCGCUGAGGAGCGAAAGCGUGGGUAGCGAACAGG
rnacentral:rRNA from 1 species